AAGUCGUAACAAGGUUUCCGUAGGUGAUGACAGUGUCACUAGCUCUGUACGAAUGGCGCAGUCACGAUCGCUGGAGGCCGACACGGCCGGCGACCGGGUCACCGGGCAUAGACCCCCCUAUCACCUUUGCAUGAAAACGGGCCUGCGCUUAAUUGUGCGGCCACCAAACUCGAACAACUGUUAACAAUGGAUAUCUUGGUUCUC
rnacentral:misc_RNA from 1 species